rnacentral:rRNA from 1 species
GGGUUGUGAGGUUAAGCGACUAAGCGUACACGGUGGAUGCCCUGGCAGUCAGAGGCGAUGAAGGACGUGCUAAUCUGCGAUAAGCGUCGGUGAGGUGAUAUGAACCGUUAUAACCGGCGAUUUCCGAAUGGGGAAACCCAGUGUGUUUCGACACACUAUCAUUAACUGAAUCCAUAGGUUAAUGAGGCGAACCGGGGGAACUGAAACAUCUAAGUACCCCGAGGAAAAGAAAUCAACCGAGAUUCCCCCAGUAGCGGCGAGCGAACGGGGAGGAGCCCAGAGCCUGAAUCAGUGUGUGUGUUAGUGGAAGCGUCUGGAAAGGCGCGCGAUACAGGGUGACAGCCCCGUACACAAAAAUGCACAUAUUGUGAGCUCGAUGAGUAGGGCGGGACACGUGGUAUCCUGUCUGAAUAUGGGGGGACCAUCCUCCAAGGCUAAAUACUCCUGACUGACCGAUAGUGAACCAGUACCGUGAGGGAAAGGCGAAAAGAACCCCGGCGAGGGGAGUGAAAAAGAACCUGAAACCGUGUACGUACAAGCAGUGGGAGCCUCUUAAUGGGGUGACUGCGUACCUUUUGUAUAAUGGGUCAGCGACUUAUAUUCUGUAGCAAGGUUAACCGAAUAGGGGAGCCGAAGGGAAACCGAGUCUUAACUGGGCGUUAAGUUGCAGGGUAUAGACCCGAAACCCGGUGAUCUAGCCAUGGGCAGGUUGAAGGUUGGGUAACACUAACUGGAGGACCGAACCGACUAAUGUUGAAAAAUUAGCGGAUGACUUGUGGCUGGGGGUGAAAGGCCAAUCAAACCGGGAGAUAGCUGGUUCUCCCCGAAAGCUAUUUAGGUAGCGCCUCGUGAAUUCAUCUCCGGGGGUAGAGCACUGUUUCGGCAAGGGGGUCAUCCCGACUUACCAACCCGAUGCAAACUGCGAAUACCGGAGAAUGUUAUCACGGGAGACACACGGCGGGUGCUAACGUCCGUCGUGAAGAGGGAAACAACCCAGACCGCCAGCUAAGGUCCCAAAGUCAUGGUUAAGUGGGAAACGAUGUGGGAAGGCCCAGACAGCCAGGAUGUUGGCUUAGAAGCAGCCAUCAUUUAAAGAAAGCGUAAUAGCUCACUGGUCGAGUCGGCCUGCGCGGAAGAUGUAACGGGGCUAAACCAUGCACCGAAGCUGCGGCAGCGACACUAUGUGUUGUUGGGUAGGGGAGCGUUCUGUAAGCCUGUGAAGGUGUACUGUGAGGUAUGCUGGAGGUAUCAGAAGUGCGAAUGCUGACAUAAGUAACGAUAAAGCGGGUGAAAAGCCCGCUCGCCGGAAGACCAAGGGUUCCUGUCCAACGUUAAUCGGGGCAGGGUGAGUCGACCCCUAAGGCGAGGCCGAAAGGCGUAGUCGAUGGGAAACAGGUUAAUAUUCCUGUACUUGGUGUUACUGCGAAGGGGGACGGAGAAGGCUAUGUUGGCCGGGCGACGGUUGUCCCGGUUUAAGCGUGUAGGCUGGUUUUCCAGGCAAAUCCGGAAAAUCAAGGCUGAGGCGUGAUGACGAGGCACUACGGUGCUGAAGCGACAAAUGCCCUGCUUCCAGGAAAAGCCUCUAAGCAUCAGGUAACAUCAAAUCGUACCCCAAACCGACACAGGUGGUCAGGUAGAGAAUACCAAGGCGCUUGAGAGAACUCGGGUGAAGGAACUAGGCAAAAUGGUGCCGUAACUUCGGGAGAAGGCACGCUGAUAUGUAGGUGAAGCGACUUGCUCGUGGAGCUGAAAUCAGUCGAAGAUACCAGCUGGCUGCAACUGUUUAUUAAAAACACAGCACUGUGCAAACACGAAAGUGGACGUAUACGGUGUGACGCCUGCCCGGUGCCGGAAGGUUAAUUGAUGGGGUUAGCGGUAACGCGAAGCUCUUGAUCGAAGCCCCGGUAAACGGCGGCCGUAACUAUAACGGUCCUAAGGUAGCGAAAUUCCUUGUCGGGUAAGUUCCGACCUGCACGAAUGGCGUAAUGAUGGCCAGGCUGUCUCCACCCGAGACUCAGUGAAAUUGAACUCGCUGUGAAGAUGCAGUGUACCCGCGGCAAGACGGAAAGACCCCGUGAACCUUUACUAUAGCUUGACACUGAACAUUGAGCCUUGAUGUGUAGGAUAGGUGGGAGGCUUUGAAGUGUGGACGCCAGUCUGCAUGGAGCCGACCUUGAAAUACCACCCUUUAAUGUUUGAUGUUCUAACGUGGGCCCCUUACCGGGGUUGCGGACAGUGUCUGGUGGGUAGUUUGACUGGGGCGGUCUCCUCCUAAAGAGUAACGGAGGAGCACGAAGGUUGGCUAAUCCUGGUCGGACAUCAGGAGGUUAGUGCAAUGGCAUAAGCCAGCUUGACUGCGAGCGUGACGGCGCGAGCAGGUGCGAAAGCAGGUCAUAGUGAUCCGGUGGUUCUGAAUGGAAGGGCCAUCGCUCAACGGAUAAAAGGUACUCCGGGGAUAACAGGCUGAUACCGCCCAAGAGUUCAUAUCGACGGCGGUGUUUGGCACCUCGAUGUCGGCUCAUCACAUCCUGGGGCUGAAGUAGGUCCCAAGGGUAUGGCUGUUCGCCAUUUAAAGUGGUACGCGAGCUGGGUUUAGAACGUCGUGAGACAGUUCGGUCCCUAUCUGCCGUGGGCGCUGGAGAACUGAGGGGGCUGCUCCUAGUACGAGAGGACCGGAGUGGACGCAUCACUGGUGUUCGGGUUGUCAUGCCAAUGGCACUGCCCGGUAGCUAAAUGCGGAAGAGAUAAGUGCUGAAAGCAUCUAAGCACGAAACUUGCCCCGAGAUGAGUUCUCCCUGACUCCUUGAGAGUCCUGAAGGAACGUUGAAGACGACGACGUUGAUAGGCCGGGUGUGUAAGCGCAGCGAUGCGUUGAGCUAACCGGUACUAAUGAACCGUGAGGCUUAACCUUACAACGCCGAAG